CUUAUUCCCUUGCCAGAAAAAUGACAGCAUUUUUUAGAGAAGGCGCUCCAUUACAGAGGAGACCAACCUGCACUGAUUUUCCACAAUCGCCAUUUUGGUGGGUGGCUCUGCCAUCUCCUGAUAACAGAAUAGCACAUGAAAACCAGCUCUGUACUAAUACAAUAUGUGGGUAAAGCAGCCACUGUCCACAUACAAUUCUCUCCCCUUUCUCAGCUAAAACAGCUGACCUGUGUUUGAGAGAGAGAACAUUAAACAUGAUCUCUUUAAAACAACAGUGGUACCAUGACUUCAGCAAACGCAUUUGACAAAAGGUCUCUACAUACAAGGUGUCUACAUAUCCACUCCACUACUUCCUGCUCCUGUCUUUACACCUUCUUUCGAAUGAAAGAAACCCAGUCAUCCAUUGAUGACAAAUGCCUCCAUCCCUUCCUCUCCUCCCUUGAUUCUGCCCAUCCUAUCAUCCUUUCAGCAUCAACAAAGCACUGCGGUGAGGGAAGACGACUCCCAAACUUCCAACAGACGCAUACAUUCCCACAUGCACUUACGUACUGUACCCUGCCCCACCCGUCUACCUUCAAACCCAUUCCCAUCCACUGCCACCAACCUCAAGGAGCAGUCACUCCCAUCUGUAACCUACAGGGGGGCCCGGAAAGCCACUGACCUUGCAGUCACCUUCAUACUCCCAUACAUGGCGCACAGUGUACACAGCAAACUAGUCCUCAGUGUGUGGGCAGAUGGAUGUUUAUGGAUGUAGUUUGAGUGACAGAUGUAUCCCUAGACAGUAAACCUAGAGGACUAAUAAAAAAAACAGGACAGAGCCUCAGAUGCUAAUGAGAAUAAUCCCAAUGGUCGGUUCAAGGAAUUUGAUGGAUGAAUGCUUUGAUCAAACUCUAAUUCAAAAUAAGACGAACCCCCUUAGAAGGAGUCUGUUGUUCAGCCCAGCGCUCGUUAAUUAGAUACUUAUCAUUUCCAGAGGAUGUGCUGUUAAUAUUCUUGUAUGGAUGAAUAUCAAGUUUCAGUGCAGUUGAGUGGAAGAACUGUGGCAUGUCUUGGUGAGGACGCAGAAGGUUGUAGUAUCAGAAGAUGAAGUCUCAUUCAAAGCAACAAAUUCUGGCACAAGUCUGGCCCUGACCUGACGUGCAUUUGGCAAAGGCAACAUCUUUGUACAUACGUAGACACACACACACACACACACACACACACACACACACACACACACACACACACACACACACACACACACACACACACACACACACACACACACACACACACACACACACACACACACACACACGUGUUUAACAAAGCUAAUGCAUUUGUUUGAGGGCACACACACUGACUCUCUCUAACACACAGAGGAAUGACAGCGGAUGUACAUCCUUCCUCCUAAGCCAGACUCAUGUGUGUAAAGCAUGUGUUUCCCCAGGCUAAUCCACGAGUCUGAAGGAGCAUGUGUAGGGUGGAUGUGGAUGUUUAAGCUGCCGAGAGAGAGAGAGUGUGUGUGUGUGUGUGUGUAGGCAUGGUCUAAACUAAAGGAUUUUUGUUCUAAGUUUUACAAUCAUUACAAACACGCACAACACUUUACUAAAACCCAGUAUCCUUAAAGCUUUAUAAAACACAUUUUUGAAUGUUUAUAAAAUAUUCAUGAUGCAUUAUAGUGAUUGAUCCGCAUAAUUACUUAUAAAUAGACAUGCCUGCACUCAUAAAGCAUUAUGAUAUUGUAGCCCUAAACAAUUAUUCUUAUGAAAGCUUGUAUGAAGUCACACAUGGCUCCAUAAAGAGUCUUUGGUGAAUAAACAUCAUUUAACAUAAGGCAAAGAUGCAUCAAUGCCAUUAUCAAGAGGUUAAAGAUGGUUUAUUCAGCAUUCUGAUACUUCAAGCUGUAAGGGCUUAUACUAUAACAUUGUUGAGCUUUAUGAGUGCAGUAAUUACUAUGUAUAAAUUAUCAUAUAUACACUUAUGUCAAUCACUACGAGGCAUUCAUGACCCUCAUUAAUGUGUCUAAAUGAAACGUGUGAAAUCGGUAACACUUUACAUAAAUCCAGUAUUCAUAAACUCAAUACCAUGCUUGCACUGUCUCUAUCUCUCUCUCACACACACAUUCACACACAUAAACACAUACCUGCACUCACAAACUGAGAGCCCAUCCCCUUAAGGUCGUCAAUUUCAGCAAGCUGAUUUAUAGAUGAUUUGGACUGAAGUAGCUUUAGGUGUUUGGGCUCAUUUGUGUAUGUGUGUGUGUGUGUAUGUAUACGAAUGUGUGAGAGGGUACUGUAUAAGUGCUUGUUUUGUGUAUAAGUGUGUUUGUAUGUGUGUGUGUGUGUGUGUGUGUGUGUGUGUGUGUGUGUGGUGCUUGAGUUCAUCAGACUGUGAAAUGAGCUCAUUAUGGCAAACGGCCCUUUAAUUAACAGGGUGAAAGGAACACACACACACACACACACACACACACCACAAUCAAAUUAGAGCCACUUCCGACACUUAAUGUGGCAACACUAAAAUAUGAAAUAUUCAGAUUGCCAUCCACAAAUGUAGGUUCCACACCUAUACUAAAUGGUGAAUCAACAAGACACACCGCAUAGCAGUGUGUAAUAUGAUCGCAUCAUGAAGUCAGAUAAAGGGCAAGGAUUAAGUGAAAUAACAAGAUAUUGUCCAUUCCAAGAAAAGUGUGCAAAAAAUGGGUAAAAAGUUUGUUGUAUAUGUUAUUCUGAGUGAAAAUGUAAGGAACUAUAGUUUGUGGAUGUGGUGGCUGUACACUGAUAGGGUGUGAAACAGUACCUGUGAGUUUGAGCUUUUUGUGAAAUUUACAUAUAAAUAAGCAACAAUGUGAUAACUGUACUUGGCAUUUAUUUACAAAGUUUUAAAACAUAUGCAUGCACAUUUAAAAUGUAGGAUUAUUUAGUUGAGGGCAGGAAUAUGUUUGUAAACGAUACUUAUUGUGGAGUAAAUACUAAAUGUAGACUCACUUGGACAGGAAUAUAUGGCAUCGUAAUAGUAUGUUUAAAUAUAGCUGCAAGCUGUGACCUUCGGGGUCCAAGCAGUUUGGGAAACCUGGCCCAAGUAGUAGGCUGAACGAUUUGACCGCUUCAACAGGUGAAAGAGGACCAUUUGCAUUUUGUAAAUGUUACAUAAGGAUUUGAAAACAAAAUAAAUGUUGUAUAUAGAAAGAGUAACAGAGGAAAACAUGUUGUAGUUCGUUGUAGCAUCUACAUCUUAUGGCUAAUUUGUUUGAAAUUGGGAUAAUAGCUGCUAUAUGCUAAUAAAUGACAGUGGUCAUUCACAACAACGAUCAUAAAUCUAUUUCAUGUUGAAAUACUUUCAUCCUUCAAACAUAACUUUGCAGGAAAUCUUGCAAUAGUGCAUUGUGUGCCUUAAGAGCAUUUGUAUGCAAGUGCCCAUUUCUAUUAAAUUAGCAUGAAGCAUUAACUAAAUUCUUUAAAAUAGCAUCUAAAUUGAGGCAUUCUAUUUUCUGUCUGUAAAAAAGUUUUUUCUGUUCACUCCUCCUUUCUCACAUCUCUCUGGUCUAUCACUGACACUGCACUGAAACCUUCAGAUCCUGAUUUAAAUAGGCAGACAUGCUCAAUUCAGCAAAUCAACUCAUCUCCAUUUAUGAUCAAACACAGAAAUAGAUACAGUGUUUCCCCUACCGUUAUAUUAGGGGGGCGCCCCGCCCCCCCAACGGCACCCCCCGCCCCCCCCUGGAAGGUCAAGUUAAUUUUGUUCAAUUUUAUUUUCUAUAAAGCGCCAGAUCACAACGGAAGCAAUUUAAGGUUACCUUUCCUAUAGAACAGGUCUAUAGCUUGUUCUUUUAUUAAGCAAAAUAAAUAGCCUUAUGUUAUUUAUCUUAUUUACACGACGGCAUGUAAUUUCUGUCUCUACAUGGUCGCACGUUUACAAUUAUCACCAGCGGACAGAAUUGGGCUUAAGAAUCAGUGCACAGCUACGGACACUUUUAAGCUUUAAAAAACUAAUAUCCAGGCGUUUAUGAAUCCGGCAGAGAUCUUUUCCUAGGUAGGGUCGACAAUGAGGCCCAAUGAGAAUGGCUACAACAGACGAGGAAACAGAACGUACGUACAGAAUGUCCGCACCGAAAAUUCAGAAAUAGAUCUGGCUUCCAUUUUUUAUCAUUUUCCGCGAGUUGUGCGUGGCCCUUUUUACAUAGACUCUGGUAAUAAAUCUAUGAAAUGUAACGAAAAUUAUUUAUUUUGCUGUGAAUAAUGAAGGAAGCAAUAAAUCCGAUUAUUUGCCAAACCCUCAAGAGCUGCUGCCAUGGAGAUUUAACGUUACUUUCUGUUUGAAGACAAGGUAGCAGCUAGUGUUGAAGAAUGGAUGACUUGAAAUUGGACGACUUUAAAUUAAUAUAUGAAAUUGAACAUCAACACCUAUACGGAUAAAAUAAAUAAACAAGGAUAGCAAAACAGAUUGAUAAGCAAUGAGAACGGCAGAAACACAGGCAGGACGUCAGAUGACGCGACAGAUCAUAGUGACACAGGCUGGUUUUUUUUGUUUUUUUCGUCAUAUGAAGGCUGAGACAUUCAUAACAUUUUAUUCAGUCGUACUGGUCCUUUUGUAAUGCCAACAUGUGCACUUCGUUGUGGAUAAGUAAAGCCUAUUUUGCUACAUUUUUGUAGUCCUGGUAAUCUUUUGUUUGGCAUAUUGGUUAGGUUAUUAAGAGGACCAUUUCUCAAUCGUUUUGUUCUUGAUGAAUUAAUGUUUGUUUAUUAAUCAAUUAUUUUCAACAAAUAACUCAAUUAUAAUUACAAAGAGGACAAUUCAUAACUUUUUAUCGCAACUUUCACUUGUUUCGCCAAUUUCAUUGCAACAAAAACCUAAAAAUCAAAACUUUCAUCGCAACUUUUUGGAAAAGCUCCUGCGAAAUCAGGAAUUUUAGGCCGCAAAUAUCUUAAAAAUGUUUCUUCCAGAAGCCCAGAAAGAUACACCGGUGCAGCGACAAAAGCUGCACACUUUGUGGAUAAUUGCCAUAAAAAGACAUGUUCCGAUGUUUAGUCGUUAUAUUGACUGCUGUCAUUAAAAGAAACACAUGAACACCAUGAUUCCUUUAAGCGUUUGUGUCGGUGGCCACGCCACGCCGGGCCGCGCACCGUGCAGCGUGCCGCAGCCCCCCCCCCCCCCAAAGCUGUAAACCUAGGGGAAACACUGAGAUAUACAUAUAUUUUCAAUCAAACAAUUUUGUAUUGCUCUACAUUAAUAUCUUUUUAUGUCCAAAUGGUCCAAAUUGCACUUGGAGUAGUGAUAUAGUGUUGGACACAAAUAGCUAAGUCUUCACAAAAAAUAAGGAUAAGGUGUUCUGUGAACCACCAAGUCUAACAGCAAGUGGUUUGGGUGUAAAGUUAGUUUCCCUAAUACUUGUGAGGGGUUUGACCAGUGUAUAAAUGACUUGUCAGCAAACUGAUGCAGACCGGUUAAUAGAAUGCUUUUACUCACUGUGAUGAGAAACUCAUUCUCAGGUACAGAUAAUGACAUUGCUGAACAUGAACAGAAAGAUUACCCGCAAUAAUAAAUAAUAAAGAUUCCCUAAUACAGGACAGCUAAUACCACCAGGUCUACUCAACACGUUCAUUCUUUUCACUAAACUCUGUUGUGUCAUUUCUGCACGCGCAGUGAGCACACCAUGCUAACCAAAAUAGAGUCCUCCGUCUGCAAUCCCACGAGAGCGCUGGCAUCAGGUGCCAAAUUAACACCCCCUAACCCUUACCUGAAGUUCACUCCUCUUUUCCAGCUUAUCCUCCACUCCCCUCCCCUCUCUUUUCCG
ensembl:lncRNA